ensembl:snoRNA C05D2.15 ncRNA
CCGCUUCAUGGUGCAUUACACUUUGUAACUUGCAUUGUGUGCGCGACUAAUGAAGCAAUACCAAUAUCUGCAGUAUCUGCUCAUUCGCCGUGUUGUAGUUGAUGAGCUCGUAGUCCGAUAACAAUU